rnacentral:rRNA from 1 species
UGAUCACCAGGGCGGCAGCGGAUCAACCCCGUGCGCCAAACUGUCGACUCUAACAGACCGAAACGGUUCCCUGCGAGUAGGCUCCUUCAUUGGGGUUGAAAGCGCUUACGCAUCAACCAUAUGCAUACGGGACGUCGGUCAAAGUUACUGUGAACAAACCAGCGUGUCCAAAACAGGCUUUCGCCUGAAUGUUCGAGCAUGGAAUAACAAGGGAUCGAUUCUCUCGGUUCUUUUUUGUUGGUUUUAAACCCGAGAAGGAGUAAUUCAGGCCACGGUGUCUGAGUUGGGUUCCCCUUCACCUCGGUGGAGGCCCCAAUUAGGCCGUGUCCUUACGGGAUCAAUAGGGACUGACGGGGUCGUACGUACUUCUACGUCAGAGGUGAGAUUCUUAGAUCGUAGGAAGACGAACUUCUGCGAAAGCAUUCGACAAGAAUGUCUUCAUUAAUCAAGAACGAGAGUGUGGGGAUCGAAGAUGAUCAGAUACCGUCGUAGUCCACUACUGUAAACAAUGCCGUCUCAGGAUUGAGAAGCGAACAGAAUGACUUUCACAGCACUAACCCCUGAAACGAGAAAUCAAAGAUUAUGGGUUCAGGGGGGAGUACAUUCGCAAGGCUGAAACUUAAAGGAAUUGACGGAAUG